CAGCAGCCGCGGUAAAACGUAGGGCGCAAGCGUUGUCCGGAAUUAUUGGGCGUAAAGAGCUCGUAGGCGGUCUGUCGCGUCUGGUGUGAAAUCCCGAGGCUCAACCUCGGGCUUGCAUCGGGUACGGGCAGACUAGAGUGCGGUAGGGGAGACUGGAAUUCCUGGUGUAGCGGUGGAAUGCGCAGAUAUCAGGAGGAACACCGAUGGCGAAGGCAGGUCUCUGGGCCGCAACUGACGCUGAGGAGCGAAAGCAUGGGGAGCGAACAGGAUUAGAUACCCCCGUAGUCCCUGUCUCUUAUAC
rnacentral:rRNA from 1 species